rnacentral:tRNA from 1 species
GCGGGAGUAGCUUAGUGGUAAAGCCUCGGCCUUCCAAGCCGAUUACGGGGGUCCGAUUCCCCUCUCCCGCUCCA